GGGAAAGGGGCUCGGGGCCGCCCCUCGCCUCACGGCGCCUGGCUGGCACCUGCAGCCGGGUGGGGCUCGGCCCCCUCGCCUCGGACACGGCCUCCAGCUGCGGCAGAGCCGGCUUAGGUUGGGCAGUAAGGAGUCCUGCACACACAGGGUGGUUUGGCGUUGGAAUGGCUGCCCAGGUGGAGUCACUGCCCCCGGAGGAGUUUCAGGGAAGAGUGGAGGUGGCACUCAGGGCCUGACUGACCCGGUGCUCGGUCACAGGCGGGACUCGAUGAUCACAGAGGACUUUUCCAGCCUGAUCGGUUCUGUGUUUCUGUUAGGUAUUUCUGAUUUGUGGAGUGUACCCUGAGUUAAAGCGUCUCCACCCGUGGCUUUGCACCCCAGGUUCCCGGUCACAUUCAGGUCUGGGGAGGUGCCGGGGCCCUGGGAAGCCCGUGAGUUCCAGAGGCCAGGCAUUGCUCCUCAGCUGGGCUGUGAUUUCUGUCUUGGCCAGCUAUUUUCCCUGUUUUUUUCCUGCAGACACUUCCCAGCAGUGCUUGGGCUUCCCUGUGCACUGUGGUGACACCCAGAAACCCCGGUGACCCUGCCUGCCAUAAAUACCCCCCAGCCCCCUGCAGGCAGAUCACCACCCUGGUUUUUACUUUCUCUUUGGUUUUUAAACCAGCUCUGUAUGGCCUCGCGAUACGUGCUUGUGUAUGAAAUCUUGUGUAACGCAUCACUGAAUCCUCACACCCGCACGGAGUCAAGCUGCAGGCCAGUCAAACAGACCAGUGCCCUGUUGCCGUGAGGAGAGGGGUGUGGGGAAUUCAGGGUGCUGCUGAAUUCCAGUCUCAAGAGGCAGAUGGGUGCAGCCUUGCCUGGGAUGGCCAGGGUGGUCCUCAUCCCUCCUGCCUGAAGCUCCCUGUAAGUUCUCUGGGAUUAACCAGGUGACCACCAGGAUGUGUCCAUUUGGGGGUGGGAUGGCUCACCUCUGCCUCUGCCUGUUCUUUGCCUUUAAAAAAAACCAAAAAUGCACAGACCCUGUGAAUUUUACAUCCCAAUCCACUGGGAGCAUCCCUUUUCAUUUUGUACCACCAGACAGUACAGGGCUCACUGCAUGCUGCCUUCUUGACAUCAGGGAAGAGGCUCCUCUUAAUGCCCUGGAUCCACCAGGAAAAAAGUCCUGGAUUCACUCCAGAACUUCAGCAAAAUCCUGAUCCUUUUCUCUAAGCAUUGAUGGCAGUUUGCUGUUAUCUUAAAUGCAAGCUCUGCUGUGAUGCCACAUCCAAUACCUGCAAGCCAAACACAAACCAGUGCCUGAUGUCACCGUCCCAGCCAGGGGGUUCAGCAUCUUCCAGGAACCCGGGGCUGCAUCACAAAGGAACAGCGGGACAGAGGCACCAAACCCAAGCCACUGCCUGGUUUUGUGCCUCAUGUAUCAACUGCCUCGUAAAUAUGCCUCGUAAAUAAAAUAUAUAAAUACUGUAGUAGUGAUUUCUUUUGGUCUCAUGGACUGAGAAGCUUACACCAGUGCAAGAUGCUGCCAAAAGUACUGGUCUUGUCUGCUGCCUUAGUCCAGCCCUUCUCCCAUCCCAGGUUUGGCUCAGCACUGGCAGUUUUUGGCUAGGACAGUUGGCUUUUGGAUGGGCUCAUUCCAGGGGGGUAGUGACAAGGGGAGGUGGAAAAGCCCUUCUGAAGACCCAGCAUCACCUUUUCACCUCUCUCAUUUAUUUCCUCCUUCGCUCUCCUUACUAAGUUUCCCACUGAGGACAUUUAUUUUCCCUCUCCUUUGUUUUUCAUCCACUUCAUUUAUUGCCAGUGAACUGAUUUGUUUGAGCUGAGAAGGGUCAACAGAUAAAGGAAAUCUGUGUGUUUAUGGGGAAAAGACAGUGCAGAUGCCAAGAGAAUAUGGCUGGGAGUCAACUGGAAAGCCAAGGGCAGUGAGUGACUGGCAGCAGUAAAAGGCCACCUCUGGGCCCCCUUGGGUGGGGCGCGGUUGCACCUGAGCUCUUCCGGCUCCUGUUUGUCCAGGAGUGCAGCAGCUGCCCGGCACAUUCCCGGUUGCUCCGGAGCUUUGUUUCCUGACCAACACCCAUUUGCAGCAUUUCCCAAACAAGCGGAGGCUCAUCACCAUCGCUCCCACUCCCUCUUCCCCUUCCCAUUAUCCCUGCGGGCUGGGGAGCAGCCGAGUCCGAACAAUCCGUGCUCGGGCAUUGGCCGGGCAGGACAUGAAGCAUUAACGAGUUUAAUAGCACCAAACAGAUAAAAGGUUUCAAAGGGCAUCAUUAAAAAAUAUCCCUGUGGCACCGGUCUGUGAUACCCCAGGGCUUCAACAUGAGGUGCAGAAACCUAUGACUGCCUUCUUCUGAAAUCCUUCCCAAUUGUUUAAAAAAUUAUAAAAAUCCACAUUUCAUUUCAUUUUAGUUCAGUUUAGUUUAAGAAACAGGGUUCUCCCUGCCCAUGUUGUGCUCAUACAGCCAU